UGCCGUUGCUGGCCGUUGCCGCCAAAUUGCCGCCGCUUGAUAUCCGUGUGGAAGUGGAGAAUAUUGGAGAAUCGUAUGAUAAAAUCGAUUGUGGGAUGUUAUAAGGUCUUGGAUAAAAUGGAAGAUAUGCAUGGUGCUCGCCCUGGCUUCGGAGGGUCUGACUUUGGUAACCCAACUGGAGCGGGAUUUUGGAGAGGACCGUGGCCUGACCCCCCUGGUGACCCGCCCGGACCCCCAUGGCGCGGGCCGCCGCCGCCCCGAUUCCGUGGCCGCGGCGGUCCGCCCGGCCCGCCAUGGAACGGUCCGCCGGGCCCGCGCGGUCCGUGGCGGGGCCCGCCUCCGCCACCGUUCUUCCGCGGUCCGCGCCCGCCGUUCCGGGGUCCGCCGCCGUUCGACCCUAACUGGGACCCGCACCCGGGCAUGAUGGGUCCCGGUGGGCCGAUGGAGCCGUACCCGCCGGGCCCGCCGGGUAUGGGCGGCCGGGGCAUGGGCCCGCCGCCGGGGCAUUGGAGCGACCCGAUGGGCCCUCCGUCCGGGCCGCCGCCGUUCUCGGGCCCGCGGCCGAGACACCACUCUGCGCCGCCGCCCCAGACCGCAGACUUGGAGGCCGCCGCCGCCGUAGCUGCCGGCGAGAUCAACCCCACCGAGCUGCUCGAGGUGGAGUCUGAGCUGAUCGAGGUGAAGUCUGAGCCGCUCGAGGUGAAGUCUGAGCCGCUUGAGGUGACGCCUGAGCUGAUCGAGGUGAAGUCUGAGCCGCUCGAGGUGAAGUCUGAGCCGCUUGAGGUGACGCCUGAGCCGCUCGAGGUGAAGUCUGAGCCGCUUGAGGUGAAUUCUGAGCCGCUCGAGGUGACGCCUGAGCCGGUCGAGGUGAAGUCUGAGCCGCUCGAGGUGGAGGAGGUGGAGGAACCGGCGCCGGCCAAACAGGAGGACGAGAGCCGUCCGGUCAGCUCCACGCCCGUGCCCGGCUCGCCCUGGUGCGUGGUGUGGACCGGGGACGGCCGGGUGUUCUUCUACAACCCGUCGACGCGCACAUCCGUCUGGGAGCGUCCCGAGGAACUGAACGGCCGCACUGACGUCGACAAGAUGCUGCAGCCGCCCAAACAGGAACCCGCGGAGAGCAAGGACGACGAGCCGCCCGCCAAAAAGGCCAAGGUCGAAGAGACCAAAAAAAGAAGUGAAGGAGGAGGCGCCCGAGGAGAUCGAUCUCGGGAAGGAAGCGGCCAUUGAGGCGAGAUCCGAGAUCCCCAUGAAGCAGUCCAGGGACAAGCUCAACGAAAAGGAGUUCAACAUGGCACCUGCUGUCAGCAAGAGCAAGAGGAAGAGGAUGAGGAGGAUCCAGGCUAAGCAGAGCACAGUGGGGAGGGUGGUGACGGUUAAAGUUUUGCUGGUUGGGGAUGAAAAGUUUAGGGAUUCUAAGCUUGGGCCAGCUCACCUCGAUGUCAUCAACAGAAAAAUUCGUCGCAGAGCCCUUAAGGCCGAGUUCAUCAACUUGGAGCACACGCCUCCCAUUCUGUCCUAUUCUGGGGAAUCUUGCACGAACGCACUUGUGACUGCAGAUAUCCUGGGGAGGGUGGGGUUGCUGUGUGGCAAGGAUAGGACUCAACUCUUUUUGCUCUUCUUUUCGAUGGGCGGGAACGGGGUGUUCAGUCGAACAGGGCGUAAGUCCGACGAAGAGACACAGGCGGAGCUGGAUGCCCACGAAAAUCUUUUGCGGGAGCUCCUUGCCCAAAAUUCCAAUCUGUGUGCGCUUGUGUUUGGUAUUUUUCCUCGUCCAGCUAUCCCCGAGCAUCUCGUCUUCCUGAGAAACGUUAAUUACUGCAUGCGGAAAAGGAUGGCGGCGGUUGCAAAAGCGUCCGGGGGAA
rnacentral:misc_RNA from 1 species